AACGUAGGUUCCGAGCGUUAUCCGGAUUUACUGGGCGUAAAGCGCGUUCAGGCGGUUUGGCAAGUCGGGCAUGAAAUCUCUGGGCUCAACCUGGGAGAGGUUGUCCGAUACUGCUAAACUGGAGGGCAGUAGAGGGUGGUGGAAUUCCGGGUGUAGUGGUGAAAUGCGUAGAGAGUCCGGAGAACACCAGUGGCGAAAGCGGCCACCUGGACUGCACCUGACGCUGAAACGCGAAAGCUAGGGGAGCGAACGGG
rnacentral:rRNA from 1 species